UAGGCCCCACAGGGGGUUGCCUUCAGUAGCGGCGAGUGAAGCGGCAAGAGCUCAGAUUUGAAAUCGUGCUUUGCGGCACGAGUUGUGAUUGCAGGUUGGAGUCUGUGUGGAAGGCGGUGUCCAAGUCCCUUGGAACAGGGCGCCCAGGAGGGUGAGAGCCCCGUGGGAUGCCGGCGGAAGCAGUGAGGCCCUUCUGACGAGUCGAGUUGUUUGGGAAU
rnacentral:rRNA from 1 species